GAAACCCUUUCAAAGGACUCCUUAGGUUUGUGAGUUACAUCAAGAGGGAAAAAAAAGAAUUAAAAAGGGCUCUAGACAAAAAGACUACACGAUCGUAAUGUGUGAUUUGAAGAAAAAAGUUUGAGGACAGAGCAGCUGGCACCCGCUUACUCUACUGACAGAACGAGAAAACCGGUUAAAACACAGGACACGGGCAGCGCAGUACUGAGAACCUUGACAGAAGCAAAACGAAUGCCGUGAGCCCCGCGGUCCCCCUGGCCUUCCGCCGGCGGCACUGUGCAGGCGGCAGAGCAGAAAGGGGGUUCCCAGCUGAGCGCGACAAUCUGGCUGAAUUGAGGAGACCAAGACCAGAAUUCGAGGGGGAUGAAGUAGCCAGAAUGUUCAUGGUGGAGAAAUGGAAAAGACGAGCUCUAAGGGGGACAUGCAGACAAAGUGCUCCAGAAAUCAACACAGGGGUCUCCCUGAGUUUUGGCUGAAUGCAAAGCUGUGCACUGUACAAAGGGUGGAAGUCCACAAGGCGAGGCCAGAGGAAGUUGUAGGCUGAGCAAGGCAGGAGCUCACCAGGACUGCCAGAGUUGACGUUCCAACCGGUGGGAGUAGAGGAAGAGACCCCAGCAAAGUCAUGUCUGUAAGAAGGGGUGAACUAGCCCUAAGAUACACUUUAACUUUACCCUAAUGAAAUUUAAAAACAAACCUUGAAAGGACCAGACAAUCUGCGAAUAAGUUAACUACCUCCCAGGACAAAGUUUAACACUCUUUGAAAGAAGACAACAUAAUGGAGCACUCAGUGAAAAAGUCUGGCACUCAAUCAUUUCCCAGUCAUUCUUAUUAAAGGACAGGGAUGCUAACCUGGAAAUACUUUUUCAUCUCUUUGGCAAGCAAUUAAUUAAUCUUCAAUCAUAGGAAUGCUCUAUGUUACAAAAUUUCUCAUAUAAAUAUAUCAGGUCAAUUGACUAUAAUAUUUUGGCCUACAAUCUUAUUACUUCUUUCUCCCAGGUAGCCAUAGCCAUAAGGCAUGUGUAAUUUUGCUGUUAUAUAAUUAUCAAUCUGGGAUAAACUUCAGCAUCUUAUGUUCAGUUAAAAUUUAUAGAAUUUAUCUAGAGUCGAUUCAAUGGUCAGAUAUUUGGGCCAGAAUAUGAAGCUUUGGAUUCAUUAACCUUCCUAAGGAAAUCCUGACUGUGCAGGGUUGUAACUGUAUGUGUGUGUGUGUUUCAAUAUGUAACUUUUACUUAAGAAAGAUGCUUGAACUGGGAGCUUAUUUACUUGUGUGUUUCUAAUCAAAAGAGGUCGUAUUUCUCUGGCUAUGGUUAAAAUAAACAUAGGGAAAAUGGAUCUUUUCUCAGGAAAUGGACUGUGAGAAAAGAGUCAGUAGUGAUUAAAUAAUAUUCUUGAGGUCUGUUUGGAGGUCCUUUAAUGACUUCUUCCUUAAUUCUGUAAGUAUGAAUUUAUAAGCAACCAAACAGAUUACAAUCACAAAACUGAUUAUUUUUUAUGGUGGUUUUUGAACUGUCUGGUAUCUGAACUCUCAUCCUCUCUCUUUUGGGGGAAUUCCCUGUAAUCUGAGUCUUAUUGGAAUGUAGAGUAUCUCUCAUGACAGAAACCAGAAAGUUCGGGUAAUUAUCCCCCCACCCCCACCAAUAGCUAGGAUGAAUACACCUAGCCUCAGUUACUUGUCAAAAGCUUAAAUGUGAAGCAAGUGACACAAAGAAAAGUGACAGAAUUUACUCUGGCAGUAGCCACAACACCCAGUUACUACGGUCAGCAGGGCCAGUGGAGCUUGUCAUGGUGCCAACAUCCAGUUCCAGCAGUUGCUUUCCAGCUCUGGCAUCCAGGAUAUAGCAGUUGCUAUGGCACCAUUAUGGCUGAGAUCUAAGUACCUUUUGAUUAAAAUACAGUUGUUUUCCAUUACUUGCAGCUAAGAACCCUGGCUGACUCAUGCAGAGACAUUUGAUUUGGCUUAUAUUGGGGCACAAAUUUUUCUUGCAUGAACAGAUACGUAUGUAUGCUGGAGAACACUAAGGCACAGUCUUCUACUCUCUUUUUCUGCCGAAAAUUACUCCUUCAGAGGUCUCAGCCAGUCCCAAGCCUCUAUCAUCUCUUAAUUGAUGACUCCCAUAUUAUGCCUCAAAUACCUACACCUCUACUGAGGUCCAGACUUGUAUAAAUAAGUGCUUACUCAACAACUUCACUAAGAUGUCCAAAAGACAUCUGCCUUAGAUAGCCAAAACAAAACUGAUUUUUCCCCCCAAAAUCUGAUCCUUCUUCAGUCUUAUGUCAAUUAAUGGCAUCUCUAUUCAUCCAGCAGCUCAGAACAAAACCUUCAGUUACCUUUGAUUCCUCUCCUGUCCUCAGCCUCAACAUCUAUACAUUGGCAAGUCCUCAACUCUCUACCGCAGCAAAUUCUAAUCUCAAUCCUGCCACUUCCCAUCACCUCUCCCCCUUCUUCUUUAGCCACAGAUGUCAUAAAUAUCAACUGGACUACUACAAUAGCUUCCACUUUGCUUUCUGUAAUUCACUCUCUCCAUGUGGCCAGAGAGAUCUUUUUAUAAUGUAAAUCAGAUCAUGCAUUUCUCCUAUUUAAAACUCACUUAAGGCUCUCCUUGCACAAAGAAUAAAAUACAAAGCCUUUACCCUGGCCUACAAGGCCCUACAUAAUCUAGCUUCUACCUUUCACCCCCAUCUCUUACCACACUUUCCCCCAACUGUGUGGCAGCCAGAACUGCCUUCUAUACUUCAUGACCUUAGUGGCCGUAGUUAUGUCUACCUGGAAUUCUCUUUCUCCAGAAUAAGUAUUUCCUUCUCAGUAUUCAAAUAGCAAAUCCUCAGGAAGGCAUUCUGAUCGAAAUUAACUCCCCUCCCCACAUUUGCUAUAUAUAUUCUACUAUUCUGCUUUCCUUUCUUCAGACCGUAUUAUUACCAUUUAAAAUUGCUUUACUUACUCAUUUGAUCUCUAUGUCACCCAACAUACUAUGGAGAGAUACCUGUAUUUUAUACCACUGUAAGUCCAACACUUAAAACAGUUCCCAGCACAUACUGGGUACUCAUUAAAUAUUUGUUGAAUGAA